UCCCAGCCCCUAAUCCAUCUUAAACAAUGAAUUGAACCCCUUCAAAGCACUUUACAUCUACUUUUCAUCAAAUCUCUCUCAAGAAAAACCCUAGUUCAACAAACUUUCUCCCUAAGAAAUCCCGAUUCCUCCAUUAAUUCUCCAAGAAACUUCAACAGUAAGAAUCCCCAAUUCAAGAACUCUAAGAAUUUAUCUCCAAAGCAACAAUAGGAAUCUAAGAUUCAUGUUUUCCAUCAAGAUCACCAAUUAAGGUAUGUGGUGUUAUGAACAAGGAUAAUCCUUUCAUCAUAGUGCCCAAAACUUACCUUAAAUUCAGAUUUUUCUGAAUUUUAUAUGAUUUUUGUAACGCCCCAAAAUCUGGUUUUCGGGAUGCCACA
rnacentral:lncRNA from 1 species